UACGUAGGGGGCAAGCGUUGUCCGGAUUUAUUGGGCGUAAAGAGCGUGUAGGCGGCUUCACAGGUCCGCUGUGAAAACUCGAGGCUCAACCUCGAGCUGUCGGUGGAAACCGUGUGGCUAGAGUCCGGAAGAGGAGAGUGGAAUUCCCGGUGUAGCGGUGAAAUGCGCAGAUAUCGGGAGGAACACCAAUAGCGAAGGCAGCUCGCUGGGACGUUACUGACACUGAGGCGCGAAAGCGUGGGGAGCGAACAGG
rnacentral:rRNA from 1 species